AACGAACGCUGGCGGCAUGCCUAACACAUGCAAGUCGAACGAGACCUUCGGGUCUAGUGGCGCACGGGUGCGUAACGCGUGGGAACCUGCCCUUAGGUUCGGAAUAACUCCCCGAAAGGGGUGCUAAUACCGGAUAAUGUCUUCGGACCAAAGAUUUAUCGCCUUUGGAUGGGCCCGCGUUGGAUUAGCUGGUUGGUAGGGUAAAAGCCUACCAAGGCGACGAUCCAUAGCUGGUCUGAGAGGAUGACCAGCCAGACUGGGACUGGGACACGGCCCAGACUCCGACGGGAGGCAGCAGUGGGGAAUAUUGGACAAUGGGCGAAAGCCUGAUCCAGCAAUGCCGCGUGAGUGAUGAAGGCCUUAGGGUUGUAAAGCUCUUUUACACGGGAUGAUAAUGACAGUACCGGGAGAAUAAGCACCGGCUAACUCCGUG
rnacentral:rRNA from 1 species